UUUUUCUGUAGUCUCUUCUAAAUGUUAACGAGUCUUCCGUCUGAUCUGAAUAAUGGGUGACGGCUCAUCCAGGACUAUCGAAAAAUCUAGUAGGGUUGUAGGGAGGGACUUGAUCUCAUGGAUGAGGAGCUCGAAGUGUAGAUGACCUAGAGGCUCUUCUUUUUUAUGUAGAUCCAUGUUAUGUUAGAUUUUUCUGUAUGUAAACUCUAUUGUAAAAAUAUGUGU
rnacentral:lncRNA from 1 species